GGGUUGCCAGGGAAACGACAAUGACAUAUUUCACGCUCGCUGCUGUUUUUUUUUUUUUUUUUUGAGGAAUCGUUUCCUAGAAACAACCAAAUGCUUAGUGACGGCCGAGCGGUGUGGGUUACAAGUCCAGCGGCUUUUUAAAAUGACAUUUUUUUUCCAAAUGUAUCAUACAGUGAAAGUAAUUACUUUUCAGUCAGUCGGGUGUUUCCCAUCGGAAGACAAACGGCUCACAGACUUGAGAUUCAUGGACACGUUGGGCUUCUCUAAAUGAAAUAAUCACAGCCCCUUUCAGUUAAUGCUUAAGAGGACGUUCCACUUUUCACGCGUUAAAUGGAGUUAAUUUGGAAAUGGCUUUUCAAAUGAAUGGAAUCUGAACAAUUACUUAAAAUUGUGACCUGUCCUCGAAUGGCAGUGAAGUUGGGUAGACACGUCCGAGCCUUUUGUAGACAAAUGUCCCGGCACGUAAUCUGAUCACUGACAGUAGUCAUAUGGGCUCAGUGUGUGCUUCAGAACAGGCUUCGGCUGUAUCUAAUCAGAUUGCAGUUUUGUCCCAUUUCCAACCCGGCACAUGUUAAUAAUGGAUUCACAUCCAAGUUCAAUAUUGUACUGCUCCGUUGUCAGACAAAGUCUUGGCAAUACUUUCCAAAAAGCAGCAUAAGACCUGAUUACAAUUGAUUAGAAAGUGUCUGCUGUGAAAAUUCAAGCCUCAGCUAAAAAUAAUUCAGUAAUUUAGACAAUCCAAUUUUUUUUUUAAGAUGAGUCCAUGUGUGCGUGGCCGUGGUGUAUUUCAUUUCUUAUCCCUCAUUUGUAGGAAAUUGCCUUACAAAUUAAGCUAAUCCAUUUUUUACAGAUCACAGUGGCAAGAAAAGUCAGAGUGGUGCUUUCAUUUUCUAAUUUAUUCUGAUCAGAUUUGAGGUAUAAAACCCUUUUUUCUUCAUUACACAGCAAUUUUAAAGCACAACUAUAUAAUCAGUUUAUAACCCUGAUAAACUAAAUGUUCAUAAUAUGUGAGAACGUUGUCAAUAAAACCAAAAACAAUAAUUACAAUUACAACAGUUAUUUCAAUUGAUUUGGAAUACUGUCAUGAUUUUUGUUUGGAAAAUUAUUUCUAUACAAAAUCUGUGGCGUUUCUCCCAAAUGACCUGCUUAAAUGUUUUAACUUGUAAAGCGAAUAAAUAAUCAGC
ensembl:lncRNA